rnacentral:rRNA from 1 species
CAGCAGUCAAGAAUAUUAGUCAAUGCUCGCAAGAGUGAACUAGCUAACUGAAAUCAUUGGUGUGUCAUCAAUGAUAAUGUAAAGAAAAAUAAUGAUAUUACUUUACUAUUAGUGUCGUCCAAAUACUCGUGCCAGAAGACUCGGUAAGGCGAGAGACGCAAACGUUAUUCGUCUUGAUCAGGCGUAAAGGGUGUGUAGGCUGCUUUAAGAAUAUUUGUUAGGUUUACCUUUAUCUAUAAAUUAAUUUAAAUUAUGUUUUAAUAUUAUUUAUAAUAUAUUAUUUAUAAUAUGUUAUUUAUAAUUUUUUUUUACACGUACAAUUUUUAAGUAGAUUCUGCUAGCAAAUAUCAAUUAAAGCUAGAAUCUAAAGGAGGUUAAAACAAUACUUAAGGUAGGAGUACUAACCGUAAAUAUUAAGUAGAGUGCUAACGGCGAAGGCAUUUAUCCACUAAAGAUUGACGCUGAGAAACGAAAGUGAGGGCAGAAAAAAGGAUUAGAGACCCUUGUAUUCCUCACUGUCAACGAUGAAUGGUAGUUACUAGUUAGAAAUUAACUAGAGACGAUGUUAACACGAAAACCAUUCCGCCUUGUGAGUACAACUGCAAAGUUGAAAACAAAAAAAUUAGUCGGUUUCGGAGCAAACGAAGUGAAGCAUGUUAUUUAA